rnacentral:rRNA from 1 species
UCGUCAUCGUAGGGUUAGUCGGGACCUAAGUCGAGUCCGAAAGGGGUAGACGAUGGCAAAUUGGUUAAUAUUCCAAUACCGAUGUUGCAUCGCUUGAGUGAUGGGGGGACGCAUAGAGUUAAACGAGGUCACUGAUGGAAUAGUGGCUCGAAGGACGUAGGUCGUGAAGUAGGAAAAUCCGCUUCACACGAGACCGAGAUCUUACAGGCUGUUGACGCUCUUCGGAGUUGAUUCAGAAUCGUUGAUACUGUCGUGCCGAGAAAAGCCUCUAAACGAGAUGUAACAUUGCCCGUACCGUAAACCGACACAGGUGGGUGAGAUGAGUAUUCUAAGGCGCGUGGAAGAACCCUGGUUAAGGAACUCUGCAAACUAGCACCGUAUCUUCGGUAGAAGGUGUGCCCUAUUUGUAAUCGGAUUUACUCUGAGAAGCACUGAUGGGUCGCAGCAAAGAGUCCCUCCCGACUGUUUAC